UGGAUGGGCAGUAUGGAGAUGCACUGUGCAUGACGAUCCCGGCAGUCCUGUGGGGCUAAGUCAUCCGUGUGGUGGCCAGCUUGAUAAUUCAUCUCUGUGUCGGCUGACUCUCCCUUCUGGCUCUGCUUUCUUCUUGCCCCUCACUCCUGCUCCUUGGAUCUCACUCCCCCGAAAGGACAUGUCCUUGAGAGGUAGAAGGCUUGUGCUUGGAUGAUAAGACGACAGUGGAAGCUGACUGCUUCACCUGCGUCUUCUUGGCUCGUCAUAACAGCAUGGUCCCAGCCCUGCAUCAUCCUCAUCUCACCCCGUCUCCGUGCCAGUGAGAUCCUGGAGCCUGUUGGGAAAUUGUGGAGGUUUUUGCCAAUGUCAUUGGCCAUAUUUUGGCCAAGGAGACCAGGGGCUUCGGUCUGCCAUGUGUUUUCAGCGUGCUGGCUGCCUGCGAACACAUCUGUCAACCUUAACAUCAGAGAACAAAAGCUUGGAUUUGACAUGAAAAGGACAGCACAAGAGCAGCCCUGACCGGACCGCCAUGUGGCAUUCCUAAGCGUGCAGAGAUUCAGCCUGGAAGAUAUGCACAGUACUUGAAAGAAGUCUUUUAUCCAGAUUUCAGAGGUGGAGCCGUCCCUCCUGAAGCCGAGGUCCAGGUGUGGCCGCAGGAAUGCAUGGAGAGUUGUGAACUGAUUGAGAAGUGAAAUGAAAGACUUGGCAGCUGGAGACGCAAAUACGGUACCAUCUUUGUUACUGAUAGAGUGGAGAAUGUGGCUUAUAUCUGUGGACUGGUGGAUUUCUUGAUCCUGAGCUCCCAGCCUAAAAAGACUUACCUCCCCCAGGUGAGAAGACAGACUGAGAGAGGUUGUGUGACUUGUCCAAGGACACACAGCUAGGAAGCAGGAGAACUAUAGCGCAAGCCCAGCUUCACUUGGAUCCAGAGCCUGAAACAUGAAGCAGGCUCCCCUCUAUUGUUGAAUGAAUAAAUGAACGAGCUGCUCUAGGAAUUGGGCCCUUUGGUGACGCCACUGAGGAAGUUUUAUUUUCUCAGAUUCCGAUGUGAGCAUUCCUCUUGGGUGAAACCCAUGUUUGUCGAGAACAUGCCUCGGUACGUUCUUUUCAGGGGCAGACGCUGAGCCCAGGAGGGCUGAGGUGGGUGGGACACGACAUAACACAAACAGACGGCUGUGGUUGUACCAGGGGGAAUGUGGAGAGGCAACCAGAACCGGGUGGAAAACUGUGUGCCCCACAAUGUUUCCUCUUCCUGGGAUUCUCCGAAGCUUCAGUAAAGGUGAAAUUCUAGAGGCGAGAGGCAUUCCUGUGGCAGCUCAUGGACCCAUGGAGCCCUAGGAGUGAGUGAGCCAAAGAAGCAGGAAGAACUCACUGUCGGCAGCCUGCGAGGACUGAGGACAGGGUCUGGUCCCCAUGAGAGACAAGGAGUGUGGCUUCUGGCUAGUUUAAG
rnacentral:lncRNA from 1 species